UCCGGGAUCGUCUAGUGGUAGGACGGCAGGUUCUGGUCCUGUUAACCUAGGUUCGAAUCCUAGUCCCGGAAC
rnacentral:tRNA from 1 species